CAAAUGCGAAAGUAGCUUCCGUAGGAGCGCACUUUCAACGUUCGACUGUGCCGGCGAGUGGCGAAUUUUUUAGUGAGUAUUCACAGAACGUGAUCGAUUUGCAAACUAUAAACAACACGGCAGAGCUCCUUCCAAAUUUGUGGUUUUGCGUCUUGAUGUUUUUCCAACAAAUGGAGGGGUCUACAGUUCAUACCAAGCCGCCUCCGAACCGCUGAGGGUUUUUUAUGAGUUGCCUUUAUUUCAAAUCAUAUAUGUAUGUACACUCAAAGGGCUUGACAAUCCCGGCCGAGGGGCGACCGAAAUUAGAAGAAUUAACAUAAUAUUUUAUUCCAAUUUAAAAUAAGUAAUUUGCGAAUGUAAUCAAUAGCUAAAUCACUUUUAUGUUAAUUAAUUUAUAUCUAAAUAAAUUACAACAUAUUUUCGAAAA
rnacentral:lncRNA from 1 species